rnacentral:rRNA from 1 species
AUACGGAGGGUGCAAGCGUUAUCCGGAAUCAUUGGGUUUAAAGGGUCCGCAGGCGGAUUAAUAAGUCAGUGGUGAAAUCCUCUCGCUCAACGAGAGAACUGCCAUUGAAACUGUUAGUCUUGAAUUCGGUCGAAGUAGGCGGAAUGUGUCAUGUAGCGGUGAAAUGCAUAGAUAUGACACAGAACACCGAUAGCGAAGGCCGCUUACUAGACCUGGAUUGACGCUCAUGGACGAAAGCGUGGGGAGCGAACAGGAUUAGAAACCCUAGUAGUCC